UAGACCUACGGGAGGCAGCAGUGGGGGAUAUUGCACAAUGGGGGGAACCCUGAUGCAGCGACGCCGCGUGGGUGAAGGAGUGCUUCGGCAUGUAAAGCCCUAUCGGCAGGGAAGAAGCAAGACGGUACCUGACUAAGAAGCCCCGGCUAACUACGUGCCAGCAGCCGCGGUAAUACGUAGGGGGCGAGCGUUAUCCGGGUUCACUGGGUGUAAAGGGAGCGUAGACGGCACUGCAAGUCCGGAGUGAAAGCCCACAGCCCAACUGUGGGAC
rnacentral:rRNA from 1 species